AUUGAACGCUGGCGGCAGGCCUAACACAUGCAAGUCGAACGAGUGGCGGACGGGUGAGUAAUGUCUGGGAAACUGCCUGAUGGAGGGGGAUAACUACUGGAAACGGUAGCUAAUACCGCAUACCAUCAGAUUUGCCCAGAUGGGAUUAGCUCGUAGGUGGGGUAACGGCUCACCUAGGCGACGAUCCCUAGCUGGUCUGAGAGGAUUACCAGCCACACUGGAACUGAGACCCGGUCCAGACUCCUACGGGAGGCAGCAUGGGGGAAUAUUGCACAAUGGGCGCAAGCCUGAUGCAGCCAUGCCGCGUGUAUGAAGAAUGCCUUCGGGUUGUAAAGUACUUUCAGCGGGGAGGCGUUACCCGCAGAAGAAGCACCGGCUAACUCCGUGCCAGCAGCCGCGGUAAUAC
rnacentral:rRNA from 1 species